AUAAAUUAGUAUAUGCACAAAAAUGUUGUUUUAAGUUAGAUAAGUUUAUAUUGCAGUUAAUAUUUUUACCAGCAGAAAACCCUUAAAUUGUAAAUUAUAGGAGAAUACUCUACUCUAAAUUAUGUUCGUUUUGGAGAGAAUAAAACAUUCUCACAGCUUGCAUAUAGAAAAGUAAAGUACACUAAACUUCUAUUUUUCAGGACUUCCCGAACGGAUUAGAAGAAUUACUUGGAAUUGUAUAGAGGAUAAUUUGCCAUCCGACGAAAGAAAUACAUAUAAAGGUAUGGCCCAAUGUUUUAAUGAAGAUAGUUUUGUUGACGUCAUGAAUAGAAUGUGUGGAAAAACAGUAUAUGAGAUUACAGCAAUGGCAGCACCGUAUAAGUCCUGUUUGAAUAAUUUGAACGUAGCUGACUUGGGUAAACCCUUUCAGUAUGUAGAUUUAGCUAUGGUAGUUCAAUGUGUCAGUGAAAAACUUUAAUAGAAAAAGCAUUGACGUAGUCAUCUAUGAUUAUUCGUCGCUUAUUAUUUUACCCAAUGUUGAGCCAUGAAUUUUUUAAAAUUGAAUAUGUGUAAUUAAUUCU